rnacentral:rRNA from 1 species
AUUGAACGCUGGCGGCAGGCUUAACACAUGCAAGUCGAGCGGUAGCACAGGGGAGCUUGCUCCCUGGGUGACGAGCGGCGGACGGGUGAGUAAUGUCUGGGAAACUGCCUGAUGGAGGGGGAUAACUACUGGAAACGGUAGCUAAUACCGCAUAACGUCGCAAGACCAAGAGGGGGACCUUCCGGGCCUCUUCCCUCCAGAUUGGCCAGAUGGGAUUAGCUAGUAGGUGGGGUAAUUGCUCACCCAGGCGACGAUCCCUAGCUGGUCUGAGAGGAUGAACAGCCACACUGGAACUGAGACACGGUCCAGACUCCUACGGGAGGCAGCAGUGGGGAAUAUUGCACAAUGGGCGCAAGCCUGAUGCAGCCAUGCCGCGUGUGUGAAGAAGGCCUUCGGGUUGUAAAGCACUUUCAGCGAGGAGGAAGGUGGUGAGCUUAAUACGUUCAUCAAUUGACGUUACUCGCAGAAGAAGCACCGGCUAACUCCGUG